UACGAAGGGGGCGAGCGUUGUUCGGAUUUACUGGGCGUAAAGGGCGCGUAGGCGGACGUUUAAGUCGGGGGUGAAAGCCCGGGGCUCAACCUCGGAAUUGCCUUCGAUACUGGACGUCUUGAGUACGGGAGAGGUGAGUGGAACUCCGAGUGUAGAGGUGAAAUUCGUAGAUAUUCGGAAGAACACCAGUGGCGAAGGCGGCAUCCUGGACCGGUAUUGACGCUGAUGCGCGAAAGCCAGGGGAGCAAACGGG
rnacentral:rRNA from 1 species